ACUACGGGUGGCAGCAGUGAGGAAUAUGGGUCAAUGGCCGGAAGGCUGAACAAGCCAUGCCGCGUGAAGGUCAGUGCCCUAUGGGCGUUAAACUUCUUUUGUGCGGGAGCAAUAAUGGUCACGUGGGGACAGAAGAGAGUACCGUACGAAAAAGCAUCGGCUAACACCGUUCCAGCAGCCGCCGUAAUAAGGUGGAUGCAAGCGUUAUCCGGAUUUAUAGGUUUUAAAGGGUGCGAAGGCUGUGAGGUAAGUCAGCGGUGAAAUGCCCCCGCUCAACGGGGUGAAGUGCCAUUGAUACUGCCUUGCUGGAAUGCGGAUGCCGUGGGAGUAAUGUGUGGUGUAGCGGUGAAAUGCAUAGAUAUCACACAGAACACCGAUUGCGAAGGCAUCUCACGAAUCCGCGAUUGACGCUGAUGCACGAAAGCGUGGGUAUCAAACAGGAUUAGAUACCCGAGUAGUC
rnacentral:rRNA from 1 species